AAUCGCAAUCACAUCAUUCACAAUGAUAAACACUUCUUGGAUAUUUAAUCAGUACCAUAACACGGCCCUUGGCCCAUUAAUUUAUUCGGAAUAAUCACAACAUCAUAAUCAUGGCCUUAGGCCCAUAUACAUAUCCGGGACUCAUAUCAAUAAUCAUAUUUAUAAACCGUAGCAUAUCUAUAAUCAUCUCACAUAUAAGAGGCAUCUCACAUCUAGGAGAAAUAAUAUCAACAAGCAUAUCGC
rnacentral:lncRNA from 1 species